rnacentral:rRNA from 1 species
AUGCAGCCAGACCCGGACCCCGCGUCGCGCCCGCGCCAGGAGGGCAGCCCGCCGCCCCCGCCGGACCCCAUGCCUACGGAGGAGGAGCAGGCGGCGCCCGAACCCAACCCGGAUGCGGAGGAGGCCAAGGACGCGCCUGCCGAGGAGGUGGAGGAGGCGGUGGACCAGGACGAGGAGGUCAAGGGACGGGAGGCGGGGGUCAAGGAUGGGGAGGAGCAGGAGGAGGAGAGGAGGGGCAGGGGGCGGAAGCGAGGGAGGCGGCCCGGCGCGCCCAGGGGGCUGGUCAUGGUGAAGCGGGAGCUGCUCGCGCGCUGCAUGACGUGCCCGCUCUGCAACCGCCUCCUCCGCGACGCCACCACCGUCUCCGAGUGCCUCCACACAUUUUGUAGAAAGUGUAUAUACAAGAAGUUUAAUGACGAGGAGGUAGAGUCCUGCCCAGUAUGUGACAUUGAUCUUGGCUGCACUCCAGUCGAGAAGCUUAGAGCUGACCACAGUCUGCAAGAUGUAAGAUCCAAAAUCUUCCCCUCCAAAAGAAAGAAGAUUAAGGUUGAAGAUGUUGCAUCUCCUGAUUCACCUCCUAAUAAAAGGAAAGAGAGAUCCAUCUCUUCAUUAGUGGUCCAUACACCUAGAUUAACACCGACAGGAUCGACUGGACGGCGGACAAAGGUAGUUACCAGGAAAGCUGCUGCUUCCUUGCAUAGCCUUGGUCCUACCGUUGACAAUCCUGUGAAAAAGGAAAACAGUGACAAGAGUGCUCAUAGCUCAAGCUUGCCUGCUAAUUUGGGCAAAGUGCCAAAAACAAAGAGACAGAUAUUGUCAAAUGCGGAGGAGGCAUCUAACUAUUCCAGCAAUAAAGAUACUGAAGAUGAUAGUAAGGACAUGGCAGAUAAUGCUGAGCUCUGGAGACCUUUAAAUUGUUUGGUCGAAGCUGCAAACAGGACAAAGUCCUUCAGGUCAAGUUUACAAGGUUCAGGUGUUAAAAGAGAGCAGCUUAAUGGUUCUCCCAGUACCACAAAUGGCAUCAAAACAAACCCAAAAGAGCAUCCGAAGAGACCCAAAACUGAGGAUGAUAAGAAAGAUGCUCCAGUUCCACCAGUGACGCUAAAAAGGAAACUUAAAGGGACUGGGCGGAGAAGGAGCGGACUUCGAGCUCCAGCCGAUGGGGAUCCUGAUGGCGCACUUACACAGAACGAAAAGAGAUUCAACUGCAUAUGGUUUUCGUUGGUUGCGUCACUCGAACAGAAAGGGGACUCACCUCUACCACAGAUACCUUCACACUAUUUGCGAAUAAAAGAUGCAAAUAUACCUGCUUCGUCUAUCCAAAAGUACCUCGUGCAGAAGCUCAGUCUCCCGAGUGAGUCCGAGGUGGAAAUAAAUUGCUGCGGGCAGCCAGUGAACCCUACACAACCUCUGCGCAAUUUAGUAGAGUUGUGGCUGAGGGGGCGAUCAGCACUGACAACACAGGCCAUUGUAGGCUCCCCCGCGGAAGAGUUUGUGAUGGUGCUAAAUUAUGGACGGCCAAAGCCCAUGGAACCUUUGAGUGCACAGUAA